CGUGCACUGGUACUCAACAUUGCUGCUUUGCUUAUUGUAGAGGCAUGAAGGUCAUUAAUAAUAUAUGCAAUAAUUAGGAUUUUUUUUUCAGUGUUCAAUUAAUAGAAUCCUGUUCAUAGCAUAUAUGAAUUGCAAAUGUGAUCAGAAAAGCAUUUUUGUUGAAGAAUUUCCCCACGGACUAGCGCUAUAAAAAGACUCCAUUCAGCUGGCAAUCUAUUCAUCUCAGGCUGGAGUUAAAGGAACAGGAUGUUUUCAGAAUCAAUUGCAGUUAAUGAAGCAAACAAUCAGAAUAAAUAUGUUUUCAGCCCAGCACAAGGUGAGCCUAUAACCUUCACUACAGGAAUGAAAUAUAAUCUGCUUAUUAAUUACUGUGGGAAAAGUCCAGUAAAAUGAGAUAAUUUGCAGCUGACACCCCCCCCUCCCCCCUCCAUUUCCAUUAAAAUAUGAGGAAUGAAAAAGAGUUCA
rnacentral:lncRNA from 1 species